GACGAACGCUGGCGGCGUGCUUAACACAUGCAAGUCGAACGGAAAGGCCCUGCUUUUGUGGGGUGCUCGAGUGGCGAACGGGUGAGUAACACGUGAGUAACCUGCCCUUGACAUUGGGAUAACUUCAGGAAACUGGGGCUAAUACCGGAUAGGAGCUCCUGCUGCAUGGUGGGGGUUGGAAAGUUUCGGCGGUUGGGGAUGGACUCGCGGCUUAUCAGCUUGUUGGUGGGGUAGGGGCUUACCAAGGCUUUGACGGGUAGCCGGUCUGAGAGGGUGACCGGCCACAUUGGGACUGAGAUACGGCCCAGACUCCUACGGGAGGCAGCAGUGGGGAAUAUUGCACAAUGGGCGGAAGCCUGAUGCAGCAACGCCGCGUGCGGGAUGACGGCCUUCGGGUUGUAAACCGCUUUCGCCUGUGACGAAGCGUGAGUGACGGUAAUGGGUAAAGAAGCACCGGCUAACUACGUGCCAGCAGCCGCCGUAA
rnacentral:rRNA from 1 species